CCAGAAGGCCUCUCCCUUGAGGGAGUCCUCUGGGAUCUGCAGCAUACACCUCUGUCCCACCAAAGGCAACUGCACAGGGCCAGCCUUGCUGACCAGAGCAGCAGCUCUCCCGCUCAAGAGAGGGGAAGUGACCCAGUGAGGAUUCCACAGCAAGAGCGAGCACAGGCGGGUGCCCAGCCUCCUGGAUCAUGCCGCUCCUGAAUCCCGCACACCAGCACCAACCAGCCAGGCAUGUUUCCAGGGAGGAACAGCCCCGGACAACACCCCGAAUACAGCAAGUGCUGGCGCCCCAGACGGAAGCAGAGAGGCAAGGCCCUCUGAGGAGGUCCCCAGCCAGCCACAGGGAGCCGAGAGGCGGGAGGGCCGGCCGGGCCUCGUGCUCUUGGGUCUCAGCCAGGCCUUGGUCCCCACCCCAGCCAGGCCUCUAGCCAGAGUUUCUCCCAGGGCCGGUACUGGGCGGCCUCCAGAGCCUCAGCCCGCCCUGGACCUCCCCGCCUCCCUGAGGCUCAUCUACUCAAGGGGGAUCCCUGCCCCGGAGAAACCGGGAACUUCUGACCCUCCUUGGGAGUGUUUUAAAAAAUCCUUCAAAACUACCCUCUCUCUUCCUGUCCCCCAGGGCACCCAGAGAAAAGCCGCCCUCCUGAGAAGUUCCCAGCCUGGCUUAUUUGGUUGAAUUUUUUCAGAAACAGACAUGAGGUUCCGUGGGCAUCCCCCCUCUACACACACGCAGCUGAGCCCCUGCUGAUCCCUCGGCCCUUCUGCCAGGAGGGCUAGUUGCCCGCCUCCCUGAGAAGCGGUGGUGAGACGGGGAGCCCCCGAGGGAGUCUGACGGCUGUCCCAAGCAGAUUGGGGGCAUCCCGGUCUCAGGCGCCUGCCCCAGGGGGUGUGGAGGCCUUUGAGGGCCUGGUCCACGUCCGCCCACUGGGAGUGGCUGGUGACCUGCCCCUGGUCACCCAAGUCAGUGCUCUGGCGCCCCUGGUUUUCCGGCCAGCGGCCUGAGAAGCCGGGCGACCAGGUGGAACCAAGUAGGGUGGGGUUAGCAGCAACUUCAAGU
ensembl:lncRNA